rnacentral:rRNA from 1 species
GUAGGGUGCGAGCGUUAAUCGGAAUUACUGGGCGUAAAGCGUGCGCAGGCGGUCUUGCAAGCUGGGUGUGAAAGCCCCGGGCUCAACCUGGGAGGUGCAUUCAGGACUGCGAGGCUGGAGUGCGGCAGAGGGAGGUGGAAUUCCACGUGUAGCAGUGAAAUGCGUAGAGAUGUGGAGGAACACCGAUGGCGAAGGCAGCCUCCUGGGCCGACACUGACGCUCAUGCACGAAAGCGUGGGGAGCAAACAGGAUUAGAUACCCUGGUAGUCCACGCCCUAAACGAUGUCGACUGGUUGUUGGGGAAGGCAACUUCCUUAGUAACGAAGCUAACGCGUGAAGUCGACCGCCUGGGGAGUACGGCCGCAAGGUUAAA